GAGACAGAGAAGUGGCGCAGAUGAAGCUGCUUGAGGAUGUUACUCUCAGACGGUUGGACAAAGAAUGGAAGCACUGGGAGAAGCUGAAGAGGAAAACAACCAGUGAAGAUCAUGGAUGUGAUGAACAUGUCGCUAGGGAGGAUGCGGUGGAGGAGUUGACCAGGAUGGCAGAUGCUGACGGUCAGAGAGGUUUUUGUCAUUCUACAUCUCACCUCUAAAAAUUUGCCCUUUAGAUAGUUGACCGUGAUCCACCCGUAGAGUCCUUCUUCCUGUCCGGAAAUGAUGGAGGCGUUCUGGAACUUGAAGGGCAGGGAGCUCAGGUAUUCCCUCAGGCUGGCCAUGACCUCGCUGGCCCUCUUGGAAUCCUUCGCCCUGGUAGCAGAAGCAUUUCACUUUUUAAUCAGCUCUGGAUUAAAGACAAGUGAGCAGGUGAUCCUUCUCUUACUCGAGCAACCUCAUCCCAGCUGUGGCUCCCAAAAACACAGUCGUGGUUUUGUGUUUCUUUGGAGGAAUUUCUUUGGUGAUGUUGGCCAUGCAGGCUUUGAAGUCCUUCCAUGACUUGGCGUCUUUCUCCGGGUCAACUUUCAUCUCAGAGAUGCCGUCGCCUGCAGGCGUUUUAUUUGAGAAAUUAUGAUAUUAGACUUUGAGGAGCCGGAAUCUAUCACGAUGCCGUACUGUUGACAGACACAUCAGGAGUUUGAGCGUCGAAUGCCACCAGAAGAUUUUACGUUUCAGGUUUUAAUUUCAGGAAUGUCCUUUCAAGGUGUCCAGAGAUUCCCUGUUAGCUUUUUGUUCAUUAAGACAUAUUUGUGCAUGGUGAACGUGUCACAUUGUACGGAGAGCUGGUCAAACUUGCAGACAGGAUAAAUAUUUGAGGCAGUGCAUGUUUACAUGGUAAGAAUGGUGACUGUAAUCUUCUGGUUUGCUCACCUCUAAUCCGUACUCCUGCUCGCUCCACUUGUGCUGGAUGACGGCAAUAGUAACAAGAGCGGCGAUGCUGGCCAGGAGGAGCAGGACCACCACGAAGAAGCGACACUUGAAGCCCAGCGGCUGCUUGGAAGCCAUUUUCCGUUGGGACCUGUGUGAUGGGAAAAUGUGACAAACACUGUGGCUCCAACUGUGCAAACAGCCUGACCCCUCCACAGACGUGGAGACGCGCUGCAUGAAAACAUACGGC